GGCCGACAAGAGCAAAACACAUUUACAUUUCACAAAACAAAUCUAUAACCAUUAAGACAAAUUUACAAAGGAAAUUCAAAUUAACAUUUCAGAAAACAAAUUUACAAUAGUGAAAGCAAUUUACAACUCCCGAGACAAAUUUACAAGCGGUAAAACAAAUUAACAGUUCAGAAAACAACUUUACAAGUGUCCCGAAACAAAUUUAUAAGCGUCAAAUCAAACGGAAAGGGUAGGUACAAUACACAGGAAGUGCUUGUUGCUGACCUUUUGUGUCAUUCAAACUGUUUUGCGAGGGAACAUUGAACGGAGUUUGUGACGGUAAAUCAAGCGACAAUGUUUUGUCCAUUUGGUGGAAACCAUUUUAGCCAGUUAGCCCGCUUUAGUUAUUCUUGUGGGUAAUGUUUAGACUUUCUAAAAGAUGCUCCCUGCACGGAAGAACCAGAUGCAAAGCCGACGUCUAAACAACCUGGAAAUGUUAAUCAAAGUACCGAAGAACAACCAUGCCCAUCAUAUAAACAGUUCAUGGACUACAGAAACUUCAAAUCAAAAGAAAGACAGUCCUUUAGCUGUGGGUCAAAGAGACGACUAAAACAAGAACAGAGACAAGUUCAGAUAAACAUAGGAUUGAUGGUGCCAAAUGGAAGUGAUUUAAAACCUGUAAGAGGGAAAACACUCCCUUUAUUUACAGACCCUCUGGUAGCAGUGCCUGAUCUGCUGAAACUAGCUGUCCAGAAAAUGAGAACAUUUAACAAGGACAUGGAUGAAGGACCAUAUAUACUUCUGUAUCCAGAUUGCUCAGAGGUGGUCAAUGUGCCUGGGACAGAAAGGCCAUUCGUAUUGGCUGAAUAUAAAAAGGAAAUAGGAAAGGCAUAUUGCAGGAUCUCUUUUUUUAUAUGCCUAGAAAAAGACUUUAG